rnacentral:rRNA from 1 species
AUGAAGUGGGUGUACGCCAGCCAGGCCACCAUUGAGUUUGUCAUCGGCGUGCUGAGCCGGAAGGGCACACUUGCCAGGAUGCUGGGCAUGGUGGAGGAAGAAGGUCGUCUUCUAUGGAGCACGCGCAACAUCCCCUACCACCUCCUACUCGUGCCCUAUUGUUGUCUAAUAUGUCCAGCUUUAGCUGGUCUUAGAGCAGGUUUAAUAGCUCUAAGUUACUCCAGCAACAAAGAGAUGUUUGAGGCUGCAUCUCCUGGACAUGAUUAUUCUUCACUAUUACCUCCCAUCGCAAUUCUAGAAGAUGACCUCGUUGGGGCGGAGUUCAAGACCACGAAGAACCUGGCCAAUUGCUACUUAUCCUUGCUCAAGAGCAUUGUGCUGCGAUAG